UGAGGUGGGAGUGAGUAGGAAUAGUGAAGAUGACCUCCCAAGUGUAUCAGAACUAUCACAAGGACUGUGAGGAUGCUGUUAACUAGGCAAGCAGAUCAACCUGGAUCUCUAUUCCUCCUAUGUUUACCUCUCCAUGUUCUUUCUUUGACUGGGAUGAUGUUGCCCUGUGUCACUUUGAGUUCUUCAAGGAGCAGUCCCAUGAAGAACAGGAACACACUGAGAAACUGAUGGCAUUCCACAAUAAACGUGGAGGCAGAGUCCUCCUGCAAGACAUCAAGGUUGGGUUUCGUGUCUAUCUUGCUAGAUAUGGAUCAGCCAGAGCAGGAUGAGUGGCGCAAUGGUCUGGAGGCAAUGCAGAGAGCUCUGCAGAUGGAGAAGGAUGUGAACCAGAGUCUGCUGGAUCCACAAACUCUCCUCUGGCAACACGGACCCUCAUGCGAGUUCCUGAUGUGGGCUUUUGGUGAAGUUGGGAGUGGCAGCUUGAUUGAACUCACUCGCCUUUGAGUUUAAGGUCUUGCUUUGAACUGAUAACCAGCCCCAUGAGGGCUGUUGUGCCUGAAUUAGACUAACAAAUAAAUAUUCCAGUGAUGCUGA